AUACGUAGGGGGCGAGCGUUGUCCGGAAUUACUGGGCGUAAAGGGCGCGCAGGCGGUCAUGUAAGUCAGGUGUGAAAGGCCGAGGCUCAACUUCGGUUAGACGCCUGAUACUGCGUGGCUUGAGGGCAAGAGAGGGAAGUGGAAGUCCCGGUGUAGCGGUGAAAUGCGUAGAUAUCGGGAGGAACACCAGUGGCGAAGGCGGCUUCCUGGAUUGUACCUGACGCUCAUGCGCGAAAGCUGGGGGAGCGAACGGGAUUAGAUACCCCGGUAGUCCCAGCUGUAAACGAUGGAUGCUAGGUGUAGGAGGUAUCGACCCCUCCUGUGCCGCAGCUAACGCAUUAAGCAUCCCGCCUGGGGAGUACGGCCGCAAGGUUGAA
rnacentral:rRNA from 1 species